AGAGUUGAUCAUGGCUCAGAACGAACGCUGGUGGCGUGUCUAUACAUGCAAGUCGAGCGAGGCAGCGAUGCCGAGCGGCGAACGGGUGAGUAACGCGUAAGCAAUCUGCCCCAUAUCAGGAAAUACCCGUGCCAACGCGCGGUUAAUGUCCAGGAGAGUGGCCCUCUGCAUGGAGGGUUGACUAGAGAUUUAUCGGUAUGGGAUGAGCUUGCGUCCGAUUAGCUAGUUGGCGGGGCAACGGCCCACCAAGGCGACGAUCGGUAGCCGGCCUGAGAGGGUGAUCGGCCACAUUGGGACUGAGAUACGGCCCAGACUCCUACGGGAGGCAGCAGUAGGGAAUAUUGCACAAUGGGGGAAACCCUGAUGCAGCAACGCCACGUGUGGGAAGAAGCAUUUCGGUGUGUAAACCACUGUCAUGAGGGAAUAAGGCCCGCCUUCGGGCGGGAUUGAAUGUACCUUGAGAGGAAGCACCGGCAAACUUCGUGCCAGCAGCCGC
rnacentral:rRNA from 1 species